GACGAACGCUGGCGGCGUGCUUAACACAUGCAAGUCGAGCGGAGCGGCGAACGGGUGAGUAACGCGUGAGUAACUGCCCCCCUCUCUGGGAUAACAGUUGGAAACGGCUGCUAAUACAGGAUAGUGGGGGAUGACUCGCGUCCUAUCAGCUUGUUGGUUGGGUAGUGGCCUACCAAGGCGACGACGGGUAGCCGGCCGGCGCGGGCGACAGUCCUCAUUGGGCUGGGAUACGGCCCUAACUCCUACGGGAGGCAGCAGUGGGGGAUAUUGCACAAUGGGGGAACCCAUGAUGCAGCAACGCCGCGUGCGGGAUGACGGUCUUCGGGUUGUAACCCGCUUUCAGCCAUGACGCGGUAGUGGCAGAAGAAGCACCGGCUAACUACGUGCCAGCCGCCGCGGUAAUUC
rnacentral:rRNA from 1 species